rnacentral:rRNA from 1 species
GAAGAAGGCCCUCGGGUUGUAAAGCACUUUCAGUGGGGAAGAAAGCCUUGGGAUUAAUACUCCCGAGGAAGGACAUCACCCACAGAAGAAGCACCGGCUAACUCCGUGCCAGCAGCCGCGGUAAUACGGAGGGUGCGAGCGUUAAUCGGAAUUACUGGGCGUAAAGCGCGCGUAGGCGGCUUGAUAAGCCGGUUGUGAAAGCCCCGGGCUCAACCUGGGAACGGCAUCCGGAACUGUCAGGCUAGAGUGCAGGAGAGGAAGGUAGAAUUCCCGGUGUAGCGGUGAAAUGCGUAGAGAUCGGGAGGAAUACCAGUGGCGAAGGCGGCCUUCUGGACUGACACUGACGCUGAGGUGCGAAAGCGUGGGUAGCAAACAGGAUUAGAUACCCUGGUAGUCCACGCCGUAAACGAUGUCGACUAGCCGUUGGGGUCCUUGAGACCUUUGUGGCGCAGUUAACGCGAUAAGUCGACCGCCUGGGGAGUACGGCCGCAAGGUUAAAACUCAAAUGAAUUGACGGGGGCCCGCACAAGCGGUGGAGCAUGUGGUUUAAUUCGAUGCAACGCGAAGAACCUUACC